rnacentral:lncRNA from 1 species
CGCAGGCCAACUGUCAGGAUUUUAAAUGAGGAAUGGAACUGCUGAGGUGAACAUCAUCGCUGAAGUCUUGUAGCGCCUGUGUCCAUGAUUAGAAAUAAUUAAAAUCAUACCGAAAGUCAUCCUACUGAUUUAUAGGACACGGGAAUGUAACCUGGAGUAACGCCGCACAGAACUGUCUGCUAAGCUCCACUUUGAAUGUCACCAGUAUGCAAUUUUCUGGCGUGUAUCAGUAGCCCAUUUGGCCAUUGGUCACAUUGCCGCUCCCGUAUUUCCACUGCCAUCUUUAGUCACGUUUUCUCUAAGAUGAAAAUCUUUUUCCGGUUUUUCAAAUGAUUUAUUUAUUUAUUUGUUUGUUUAUUUGGAGGAGGGGCGAAGGGAAGCGGAGCGCAGGAAGCGGGCAACGGGGGCCUCUCGAAAACGGCAGGGCCGGGGACGUUCUCCGGGAGCGUGAUCGUCUGUCGUUCCAUUCGCUUCAAAUGCAAAGCGAUCCGUUUGAAUCGGGUACGGUUAUUCAACUUGUCAACGAAACCAACAACGAGGCGAAAAGGAGAAGCGCGUAACAAACUUUAAUUUGAAAGGCACUUUACGUCCGUCAUUCAGAUCCGGAGCCCACGUGCCGAACUGUCAGAGUCCCGGCCCGGCCCUAACGAGACCCAGCCGCGUUAACGAGCGCCAGGUGCCGCGAGGCCGCGCCCGCCCGCGCACAGCUGCGCCUCGUCCGGAGCUCGGGGGCGGAACCCGUCGCAAAGCCUCUUAAGCUCCACCGGAGGCAGACGGGAGCUACGAAGCAGUUCUCCGGGUUCCUCGGCUGCGGGGACAGAGCCGGUUCUGUGUCUUCGUCCACGCGUAGCGCCGUCGGGGCUGAGAAGGCUGCAGCGAGACCGCGCGCAGUAAGGAUCAGCCCGACCCGGGGAGUCGCGAGGGCCGUCCAAGCCGCUGGUUUUGUGUCGGCGAAGCGCUGCCGUCGGGCUCUCCCGGUUCUUCGGAGCCGGAGUAACAUCGCCGCCCGGCUUUCAUCGUAUGUUCGGAAGGGGCCGACGCGGGGCCGCGGCUCGUUUCCACGAGUCGCGGCGCUCUCAGCGCCCCGGGGUUAUUCGGCGGACGCCUCGGUACCUCCGGCCGUCAUCGGCGGGACCGUGCGGGACCGUGUCGCUUUAGCCUGCGUGCUGCUGGGGUUGAGAAGCGACACGAAGGGUUGCUAAGACUUAAGUUUAUCUUAUUGCAGGCGGAGCGAGGACCGCGGCGGAGCAUCUCGUCGGCCCCAACCGGCGAGCGCCUGGGGUCCCCAGGUAAGCCUUCCUGCUGGGGGUUUGCGUAGUGCCGCCGCUCGGCUAUUUCGGCGUCUUUCGGGUCGGCACGGUGCCGUUACCGAGCUCUCGCACAGCUUUUUAGAGAAGCCGGCA